UACGUAGGGGGCAAGCGUUGUCCGGAAUCAUUGGGCGUAAAGAGCGUGUAGGCGGCCUGACAGGUCUGCUGUGAAAACUCGAGGCUCAACCUCGAGAUGUCGGCGGAAACCGUCUGGCUAGAGUCCGGAAGAGGAGAGUGGAAUUCCUGGUGUAGCGGUGAAAUGCGCAGAUAUCAGGAAGAACACCUAUGGCGAAGGCAGCUCUCUGGGACGGUACUGACGCUGAGACGCGGAAGCGUGGGGAGCGAACAGG
rnacentral:rRNA from 1 species